rnacentral:rRNA from 1 species
CUAACAAUGGAUAUCUUGGCUCUUGUAUCGAUGACGAACGCAGCAAAUCGCGA